GAUGAACGCUGGCGGCGUGCCUAAUACAUGCAAGUCGAGCGAACGGACGAGAAGCUUGCUUCUCUGAUGUUAGCGGCGGACGGGUGAGUAACACGUGGAUACCCUACCUAUAAGACUGGGAUCACUUCGGGAAACCGGAGCUAAUACCGGAUAAUAUUUUGAACCGCAUGGUUCAAAAGUGAAAGACGGUCUUGCUGUCACUUAUAGAUGGAUCCGCGCUGCAUUAGCUAGUUGGUAAGGUAACGGCUUACCACGGCAACGAUGCAUAGCCGACCUGAGAGGGUGAUCGGCGACACUAGAACUUAGACACGGUCCAGAGUCCUGCGGUAGGCAGCAGUAGGGAAUCUUCCGCAAUGGGCGGAAGCCUGACGGAGCAACGCCGCGUGAGUGAUGAAGGUCUUCGGAUCGUAAAACUCUGUUAUUAGGGAAGAACAUAUGUGUAAGUAACUGUGCACAUCUUGACGGUACCUAAUCAGAAAGCCACGGCUAACUACGUG
rnacentral:rRNA from 1 species